GACGAACGCUGGCGGCGUGCUUAACACAUGCAAGUCGAACGGAAAGGCCCUGCUUUUGUGGGGUGCUCGAGUGGCGAACGGGUGAGUAACACGUGAGUAACCUGCCCUUGACUUUGGGAUAACUUCAGGAAACUGGGGCUAAUACCGGAUAGGAGCUCCUGCUGCAUGGUGGGGGUUGGAAAGUUUCGGCGGUUGGGGAUGGACUCGCGGCUUAUCAGCUUGUUGGUGGGGUAGUGGCUUACCAAGGCUUUGACGGGUAGCCGGCCUGAGAGGGUGACCGGCCACAUUGGGACGGAGAUACGGCCCAGACUCCUACGGGAGGCAGCAGUGGGGAAUAUUGCACAAUGGGCGGAAGCCUGAUGCAGCAACGCCGCGUGCGGGAUGACGGCCUUCGGGUUGUAAACCGCUUUCGCCUGUGACGAAGCGUGAGUGACGGUAAUGGGUAAAGAAGCACCGGCUAACUACGG
rnacentral:rRNA from 1 species